rnacentral:rRNA from 1 species
UACGGGAGGCAGCAGUGGGGAAUAUUGCACAAUGGGCGCAAGCCUGAUGCAGCCAUGCCGCGUGUAUGAAGAAGGCCUUCGGGUUGUAAAGUACUUUCAGCGGGGAGGAAGGGAGUAAAGUUAAUACCUUUGCUCAUUGACGUUACCCGCAGAAGAAGCACCGGCUAACUCCGUGCCAGCAGCCGCGGUAAUACGGAGGGUGCAAGCGUUAAUCGGAAUUACUGGGCGUAAAGCGCACGCAGGCGGUUUUGUUAAGUCAGAUGUGAAAUCCCCGGGCUCAACCUGGGAACUGCAUCUGAUACUGGCAAGCUUGAGUCUCGUAGAGGGGGUAGAAUUCCAGGUGUAGCGGUGAAAUGCGUAGAGAUCUGGAGGAAUACCGGUGGCGAAGGCGGCCCCUGGGACGAAGACUGACGCUCAGGUGCGAAAGCGUGGGGAGCAAACAGGAUUAGGAUACC